rnacentral:rRNA from 1 species
AGUGAACGCUGGCGGUAGGCCUAACACAUGCAAGUCGAACGGCAGCACAGUAAGAGCUUGCUCUUACGGGUGGCGAGUGGCGGACGGGUGAGGAAUACAUCGGAAUCUACUUUUUCGUGGGGGAUAACGUAGGGAAACUUACGCUAAUACCGCAUACGACCUACGGGUGAAAGCAGGGGAUCUUCGGACCUUGCGCGAUUGAAUGAGCCGAUGUCGGAUUAGCUAGUUGGCGGGGUAAAGGCCCACCAAGGCGACGAUCCGUAGCUGGUCUGAGAGGAUGAUCAGCCACACUAGAACUGAGACACGGUCCAGACUCCUACGGGAGGCAGCAGUGGGGAAUAUUGGACAAUGGGCGCAAGCCUGAUCCAGCCAUACCGCGUGUGUGAAGAAGGCCUUCGGGUUGUAAAGCCCUUUUGUUGGGAAAGAAAAGCAGCAGGUUAAUACCCCGCUGUUCUGACGGUACCCAAAGAAUAAGCACCGGCUAACUUCGUG